AGUUUGAUUUCUUGCUUAGUAUUGAAUAUUAAGCUCCCUAAAAUCAACAGACUGUCCUGGCAGUGAUCAUAUUAGCAACUUAUUUCUUUGCCAACACAGUUUCUUAUACCUGGGCACUCGCUGGUAUAUGUGGUGUUUGACAUGGAAGCUCACUCCACCGCAAGGCAGCUAGGAUUUCCUUCUUUCCCUUUUUGAAUUCUGAUGUUAGGCUGCCUGUUCUCCAUAACACAGAGCUGUAGAGAAUGAAAAUUUCUUCUCAAACUGUGGGGGGCUUCAGGUGUAUUAGAUUUUCAAUAACAAAUCUAUUUUACUUUUAGGCCAGCCCGCAGACUCUGUGCUGAGUUUGUGUUCCUUCCAGCUCCCUCGGAGUGGGUGGAUCAGUGCAGCCCAGCCCAGCCCAGCCUGCCAUUUACUACAUCAUCUUCUGGCUUUCCUCAGCUGCACAGCAGAACAGUCUAGCUCAGCCUGCCAGCCUGCCUGUGCCAGUACACCUCCUGCGUUCAUUCCAGCUCCCUCAGAGUGUUUGAGUGUCCUCCUCCAGCCUGCCGUUUCACUCCCCUUCCGCUGGCUUCUCUCGGUAAUUCAGCAUAGAGGUCUAUCCCCUAACGCCAGCCUUUCUGCCAUCCAGAUAGUGGGGUCCUGCAGGAACAGCUUCAGCAGAGAGGCCCAGUCCUGCAAUUUUAGCCCUCUGGCCUCCAAUGGAAGUUUUACCUGGAUAAGUGGAAUAAAAACAGGACCAUAGGUAUCUACUUUAUGAGCAGAGAAUAGCAGGAGGAAAAUGAAGUAUAACUGAGACAAGCACAAAAACCACUAAUGGCUAUAGAUUCCAUGCCAUCAGAAAAAAAAUAUAGGGAGCAGUUUUCCACAGGAACAUCUCGACAGCAGUGGCCAGUAAUGAAAUCGGAAUACAGCAAGGUAAGCAGGGCCGGCUCCAGGCACCAGCUU
rnacentral:lncRNA from 1 species